AAUCACAUGAUUAGUAUGGUAAAGUUCCGACGGAAAGAGAUGGACAUGCGUGUCAUUAGUUAGUUGGUGAGGUAACGGCUCACCAUGACGACGAUGACUAGGGGUUCUGAAAGGAUGAUCCCCCACACUGGUACUGAGACACGGACCAGACUCCUACGGGAGGCAGCAGUGAGGAAUAUUGCGCAAUGGAGGCAACUCUGACGCAGCCAUGCCGCGUGCAGGAGGACGGCCCUACGGGUUGUAAACUGCUUUUCUUAACUAAGAACCGUGGAUAAUCUUAUCCACCUGACUGGUUUUGGAAUAAGCAUCGGCUAACUCCGUGCCAGCAGCCGCGGUAAUACGGAGGAUGCAAGCGUUAUCCGGAUUCACUAGGUUUAAAGGGUGCGUAUGCGGAAUAAUAAGUCAGUGGUGAAAUCUUGCGGCUCAACCGUAAAAUUGCCAUUGAUACUGUUAUUCUUGAGUAUGGUUGAGGUAGGCGGAAUGAGUAAUGUAGCGGUGAAAUGCUUAGAUAUUACUCAGAACACCGAUUGCGUAGGCAGCUUACCAAGCCAUCACUGACGCUGAGGCACGAAAGCGUGGGUAGCAAACAGGAUUAGAUACCCUGGUAGUCCACGCCGUAAACGUUGAUUACUCGUUGUUGGCAAUACACCGUCAGCGACUGAGCAAAAGCAUUAAGUAAUCCACCUGGGGAGUACGUCAGCAAUGAUGAAACUCAAAGGAAUUGACGGGGGCCCGCACAAGCGGAGGAACAUGUGGUUUAAUUCGAUGAUACGCGAGGAACCUUACCUGGGCUUAAAUGUUUAGUGAUCGACCGGGAGACCGGUUUUUCCUUCGGGACACUUUACAAGGUGCUGCAUGGUUGUCGUCAGCUCGUGCCGUGAGGUGUCGGGUUAAGUCCCAUAACGAGCGCAACCCCUAUCGCCAGUUGCCAGCACAUAAUGGUGGGAACUCUGGUGAAACUGCCGGUGCAAACCGUGAGGAAGGUGGGGAUGACGUCAAAUCAGCACGGCCCUUAUGUCCAGGGCUACACACGUGUUACAAUGGUCGGUACAACAGGAUGCCAAUCCGCAAGGAUGAGCUAAUCCCAAAAGCCGAUCUUAGUUCGGAUCGGAGUCUGCAAUUCGACUCCGUGAAGUUGGAUUCGCUAGUAAUCGCAGAUCAGCCAUGCU
rnacentral:rRNA from 1 species